UACGUAGGUCCCGAGCGUUGUCCGGAUUUAUUGGGCGUAAAGCGAGCGCAGGUGGUUUAUUAAGUCUGGUGUAAAAGGCAGUGGCUCAACCAUUGUAUGCAUUGGAAACUGGUAGACUUGAGUGCAGGAGAGGAGAGUGGAAUUCCACGUGUAGCGGUGAAAUGCGUAGAUAUAUGGAGGAACACCGGUGGCGAAAGCGGCUCUCUGGCCUGUAACUGACACUGAGGCUCGAAAGCGUGGGGAGCAAACAGG
rnacentral:rRNA from 1 species